rnacentral:piRNA from 4 species
ACCGUCGUAGUUCCGACCAUAAACGAUGCC